GACAGAGUACUUGGAGGUUGUGCGGCGUUCGUUGGCCUCAGAGAACGCAGAGUGCCCGUUACUGGUAAAAAAGGCUUCAGAUACCCUUCUCGAGCGCCUGAAGGAUCCCAAGACCUAUGACAACAUCACCAAAGACUUCAACCUGUGUUCCAAACUGCAAAUCCAGACAGAAAUGGACUCUGCCUACUUCCUGGAAACUCUGGCUGGCAACUUUAUGGAUGUGGUCCAGUACAAUGAAGACAACAGGGGCUUUGAGGUGAGGGGUAACAGACACGUGCCAAACAACAUCGUAAAACAUCAUAAAACAUGGAUUUUGGGAGCAGAUGCUGAUCACUUCAGGCCAACAGUUGCUGUCCUUAAAUCAGGUUGUUUUCAUGCCAAAAUAAGUAUUCAUUACUCAUAAAGAGUAUAUAGACUGUCAUAAGAUAUUAAAACUCUUUACUGCAUAUCACACUAAUGAUGGUUAUUAGCUGCAUAAAGGAAUAGUUCAACAUUUUAGGAGCUAUGCCCUUUCAGUGUCUUGCCCAAGAAUAGGUCGAUACCACUCUCAUAUCUCCGCACUACUUAUGACACUACAGCCAGUGUCUGGUUAGCUUAGCUUAGUAUAAAGACUGGAAGCAAAAUCCGCCUACCAGCACUGAAGACGAGCUAGCUGUUUCCAGUCUGUUCUUUUAAAGGAUAAUUUCAGCCAUAUUUUCAAUGUAAAACCUUUUUUCCUAAUCACGCUGAUUAAUUCUAGCUACAUUUUCAUCAGUUGCAUUAUUUUAGAUCGACUUGCAUAGCUCGCCAGUACAGUCCUAGCACUGAAAAAUCAAUCUCUAUAAUCCCCCAAGCAUGUCUUUACAAUUUAAUAUUUAUAUACUGACAUGAAAAGAGAAAUAUGAAGGGAAAACUUCCAGGUUGAAAAUAGCAGGAGCUGAGCUUUGAGGCAGGUUGAAAUUUUUAUAGACUGACCUGAGAAAUGAUUCGAGUAUCUCCUUAGGGGUGACAGACAACUGAUAUAGAAACACCAUAUCAGAUAUGACAUAAUUUAUGCAUGGUGAACUGAGAUAGAAGGAAGGGAGAGUUUGUGUAGAGCCUUUGUAGGUCAGGAGUUGACCUAAUAUCCAGUCUUGGUUGAGUGGAAGGCAGUUAUGAGGUGUAGGAGGGUUACAGACAGGCCAAGCAGUAUACUGAAACACAAUAAACCCUGCAUUGUUUAACAGCGAGAGGCCCAGAGAUGCUGCCUUUUUAAAAAAAAAAAAAAA